CAUCACCUCGGCCUACCAACAUCUUCACCACCAAGCUAUCCAGAGAAUCUCUUAAUUCAUUUAAAUACUCUUUAAGGUGGAAACUGGCCAGGUAUUCAUAUCUGCCUAUGAGCUCCAUUCCAUUAUUGAGUUUCAGCUAUAAUUGAGUUUUUCUCAGAACUGUGAAUAUUUUCCUGGAAACGUGUGAGAGAAAGUUCACAGUAGAAGAAACAGAUCAGACUGCAGUGAAAACACUCAUAAUUAUAUGUUUGACAACAUUUGGCUGUAGCCUUUUUCUCACUAAAUUCCAAGUAAUUUGAGAACCACGAGCUUCAAUUUCUUGUACAGCCCUGAGAUUCAAGAGUAGCUUCAAACAGAGACUACACCUCCAUGGAUCCAUCACAGAGAAUUACCAGAACUUUUGAUUCAGAUUCAUCACUGAACUCACUGGAAGAAAUAUCCCAGGAAGUUGCAUCAACCUCUCAACCAUCAUUCUCUGAAGCAAAAACCCUGGAUCACAUUAACUUCAACACCAGUCCUGAUAGCAACUACCGCAUCUCUAAACCAGAUGGACUAUUCCAACAGCAAUAUGGAGAUGAGAUGACUGAACAAGAAGGGCAGGGGGAAAGGUCAGCAUUUUCUAACUGGAAAAAGGCCUACACAGAGAAUAUGAGACAGAAAGCUCUCCCUUACACAACACCUUACCAGGUUCAAAGAAAAGGAAAAAUAUCUUCCUUUGGUAGAUAUCAGAAAAAAUGUCAAUGUCAUUACUGCCAGACCCAAAAGGAGGCUCUUUCUGGUAACACUGAAGGGCAAGAUCCACCUUCUUGGAAAGCAUUAGUAGAGGGAUUUACCAACUUGAAUUUCAAGUCUGAUACCAAUCAGGCCUGCGCUCCACCAAAUGAGCAGCCACCAGACUUGGAAAAAGAGAAGAGCCACAAAGAGGGGGAGAAGAAAAGCAAAAGAAUUCCUCCAAGGAACCGAAAAUAAUUGAAAUAAACCAAAAUUCUCAUCCCCCUGUGAUGAGAUCAGAAUGAU